UGAGGGGAGGCUCAUGAUUAGGCGGUUAGAAGCCGGACUACUAGUAGUGGUCUGCAAGUUGAAUUAUUUUGCAUUUUACUCUCUCUCUUUUUUGCAAGUUGAAGUAUAUUGGAUUUGACUCUGUUAUUAUGGGCUUUUCCGCAUGUUAGUUCUCCAGCUUUAAGGCACAUGCAUGCUGCUGAUGGAUGGAUGGAUGGAUUCCGCUUUGUAUGGGUACAUUUGCUAGUGCCUACUUUUCGGUGGCUACACCAUUUUUCAGUCACACACACACACUAGAACUGGCUUUUCAUGCCUCGGUCAGAGAUGGAUUCUUAUCCUUCAAUCCCUGUAUUUGCUCUUUCGAAAUAAGCUAGCAGCUCCACAUGUAGAAGUAUGAUCAUGCAUGCAACUAUGCAAGCAUGGAGUAGUAUGAAACCAAAACCAAAUCAACUGGUUGAAAUUGAUGUGUGCCGUCA
rnacentral:lncRNA from 1 species